GACGAGGGGUCCAAGCGUUGUUCGGAAUCAUUGGGCGUAAAGCGGGUGUAGGUGGCUCUGUAAGUCAGGAGUGAAAUCCCCAAGCUUAACUUGGGAAGUGCUUUUGAAACUGCAGAGCUUGAAUGUGGGAGAGGAUCGUGGAAUUCCAGGUGUAGUGGUGAAAUACGUAGAUAUCUGGAGGAACACCGGUGGCGAAGGCGGCGAUCUGGCCCAACAUUGACACUGAGACCCGAAAGCGUGGGGAUCAAACAGG
rnacentral:rRNA from 1 species